rnacentral:rRNA from 1 species
GAUGAACGCUAGCGGCAGGCUUAACACAUGCAAGUCGAGGGGUAACAUUGGUGCUUGCAUCAGAUGACGACCGGCGCACGGGUGCGUAACGCGUAUAGGACCUACCUUUUACUAAGGGACAGCCUUUAGAAAUGAAGAUUAAUACCUUAUAGUAUUAUUGAUUGGCAUCAAUUAAUAAUUAAAGAUUUAUUGGUAAAAGAUGACUAUGCGUUCUAUUAGUUAGUUGGUGAGGUAACGGCUCACCAAGACAGCGAUAGAUAGGGGUCCUGAGAGGGAGAUCCCCCACACUGGUACUGAGACACGGACCAG